rnacentral:rRNA from 1 species
CCAGCCAAGUAGCGUGAAGGAUGACUGCCCUAUGGGUUGUAAACUUCUUUUAUACGGGAAUAACACGCGGCACGUGUGCCGCUCUGCAUGUACCGUAUGAAUAAGCAUCGGCUAACUCCGUGCCAGCAGCCGCGGUAAUACGGAGGAUGCGAGCGUUAUCCGGAUUUAUUGGGUUUAAAGGGUGCGUAGGCGGUUUAUUAAGUUAGUGGUUAAAUAUUUGAGCUAAACUCAAUUGUGCCAUUAAUACUGGUAAACUGGAGUACAGACGAGGUAGGCGGAAUAAGUUAAGUAGCGGUGAAAUGCAUAGAUAUAACUUAGAACUCCGAUAGCGAAGGCAGCUUACCAGACCAUAACUGACGCUGAUGCACGAGAGCGUGGGUAGCGAACAGGAUUAGAUACCCUGGUAGUCCACGCCGUAAACGAUGCUCACUGGUUCUGUGCGAUAUAUUGUACGGGAUUAAGCGAAAGUAUUAAGUGAGCCACCUGGGGAGUACGUCGGCAACGAUGAAACUCAAAGGAAUUGACGGGGGCCCGCACAAGCGGAGGAACAUGUGGUUUAAUUCGAUGAUACGCGAGGAACCUUACCCGGGCUUGAAUUGCAACUGAAUGAUGUGGAGACAUGUCAGCCGCAAGGCAGUUGUGAAGGUGCUGCAUGGUUGUCGUCAGCUCGUGCCGUGAGGUGUCGGCUUAAGUGCCAUAACGAGCGCAACCCUUAUCUAUAGUUACUAUCAGGUCAUGCUGAGGACUCUAUGGAGACUGCCGUCGUAAGAUGUGAGGAAGGUGGGGAUGACGUCAAAUCAGCACGGCCCUUACGUCCGGGGCUACACACGUGUUACAAUGGGGGGUACAGAAGGCAGCUACCUGGUGACAGGAUGCUAAUCCCAAAAGCCUCUCUCAGUUCGGAUCGAAGUCUGCAACCCGACUUCGUGAAGCUGGAUUCGCUAGUAAUCGCGCAUCAGCCAUGGCGCGGUGAAUACGUUCCCGGGCCUUGUACACACCGCCCGUCAAGCCAUGGAAGCUGGGAGUACCUGAAGUCCGUAACCGCGAGGAUCGGCCUAGGGUAAUACCGGUAACUGGGGCUAAGUCGUAACAAGGUAGCCGUACCGGAAGGUGUGGCUG